rnacentral:rRNA from 1 species
CAAACCAACAGGGAUUGCCUUAGUAACGGCGAGUGAAGCGGCAAAAGCUCAAAUUUGAAAUCUGGCACCUUCGGUGUCCGAGUUGUAAUUUGAAGAAGGUAACUUUGGAGUUGGCUCUUGUCUAUGUUCCUUGGAACAGGACGUCACAGAGGGUGAGAAUCCCGUGCGAUGAGAUGCCCAAUUCUAUGUAAAGUGCUUUCGAAGAGUCGAGUUGUUUGGGAAUGCAGCUCUAAGUGGGUGGUAAAUUCCAUCUAAAGCUAAAUAUUGGCGAGAGACCGAUAGCGAACAAGUACAGUGAUGGAAAGAUGAAAAGAACUUUGAAAAGAGAGUGAAAAAGUACGUGAAAUUGUUGAAAAGGGAAGGGCUUGAGAUCAGACUUGGUAUUUUGCGAUCCUUUCCUUCUUGGUUGGGUUCCUCGCAGCUUACUGGGCCAGCAUCGGUUUGGAUGGUAGGAUAAUGACUAAGGAAUGUGGCUCUACUUCGGUGGAGUGUUAUAGCCUUGGUUGAUACUGCCUGUCUAGACCGAGGACUGCGUCUUU